GGAGGUGGGGGGACACACAGCAAAGAGGACAGAGCAUCUGCUUUGUAAACAGAAGGUUCCAGGUUCAAUCCCUGGCAUCUCCU